UUAGUCUUUUAAUUGAAGACUGGAAUGAAAGAGUAAACCAAGAGGAAUUUUUUUGGAAAAAAAAAAUGAAGUUUACUUUUUAGUAAGAAGGCUAAAAUGACUCUUUUAGACAAGAAGACCCUAUAAAACUUUAUACUUUAAGAUUUUAGAAAAUUUUAAAAGUAUUUUACUGGGGCGGUAAAGAAUAAAAGCAUUCUUAAAUUAUUAAAACGAACAAGUUUUGAUAUCUGGAAAUUCCAAAAAAGAAAUAAGUUACUUUAGGGAUAACAGCUUAAUUCAUUUUGAAAGAUCAAAUUGACAAAUGAGUUUAUGACCUCGAUGUUGAAUUAAAAUUUCCUUUUUGUGCAAAA
rnacentral:rRNA from 1 species